rnacentral:tRNA from 1 species
GAGGGCAUAGCUCAGUGGUAGAGUGCAUGUCUAGCAUGCACGAGGCCCGGGGUUCUAGCCUCGGUACUUCCA